rnacentral:rRNA from 1 species
CUCAAAGGAAUUGACGGGGACCCGCACAAGCGGUGGAUGAUGUGGUUUAAUUCGACGCAACGCGAAAAACCUUACCUACCCUUGACAUGCCUGGAAUCCUGCAGAGAUGCGGGAGUGCUCGAAAGAGAGCCAGGACACAGGUGCUGCAUGGCCGUCGUCAGCUCGUGUCGUGAGAUGUUGGGUUAAGUCCCGCAACGAGCGCAACCCUUGUCAUUAGUUGCUACGAAAGGGCACUCUAAUGAGACUGCCGGUGACAAACCGGAGGAAGGUGGGGAUGACGUCAGGUCAUCAUGGCCCUUAUGGGUAGGGCUACACACGUCAUACAAUGGCCGGUACAGAGGGCUGCCAACCCGCGAGGGGGAGCCAAUCCCAGAAAACCGGUCGUAGUCCGGAUCGCAGUCUGCAACUCGACUGCGUGAAGUCGGAAUCGCUAGUAAUCGCGGAUCAGCUUGCCGCGGUGAAUACGUUCCCGGGUCUUGUACACACCGCCCGUCACACCA